GUGUAUGGCCAUACUAAUCUGAAUGCACCUGAUCUUGGAAGCUAAGCAGGUUCGGGCCUGGUCAGUACUUGGAUCAGAGACUAGUGAAAAAGUAGAGGAAGACUGUACUUA
rnacentral:rRNA from 1 species